UAACUGUAAUGCAUUCCAUUUCCUAUGUGGAAAAAUCAUUUCAAAAUUGAAACAAAUCGUCCACUGUCCUGAAACAGAUUGUGUGUGACCUUCCAUUGUAGCCACACCUUUAUCAGUGCAAUCUAAUUGACCACAAACAGCGAUGAAAACCCACACAUAAUAUAAAGAGUCAUUAAUCUGAUGAACAAAUGCAUGUUUUGCACUAUGCAACCACUUUUUAUCCAUGUUGUUUGGAGGUGUCUGCGUGUGUGUGAGGUGCGCUUAAGCAUGCUGUCCAUUAAUGCCAGCUCCUAUCAGUUGUGUCAUGACCUGCCUCUCAUGUUCCCAAUCUAAUUUCCAUCAGCUCAACACAGACCCCUUCCUCUUGAAAGGUGAAAUGUGGGGAUGUUGCUCUCCUCUCCCUCGAAGAUUGGAUUCCCCUUCAGCCACUCAACUGCCACACCUUCAUAAGACCGUGUCUCAGCACCCCGGAGGCCAGAGCACGUGGAAGGAGGACUAAACUGAAUUCUCGCUGAUAAAACUUGUCUCCCUGUAGCGCUGCUACAGAGAGUCAUCAGCUUCAUCUCUCUAAGGUCGGGUCGCGGGGGCAACAGCCGAAGAUGAGAAUCCCAGGCUUGCUUCCCUCUCUCCGGCUGUUUCAUCCAACUCCUCUGGUGGAUCUUGAUGUGUUCACAGGCCAGCUGAUAGGAAGUCUCUCCAACGUGUCCUGGGUCUUCCCUGAGGCCUC